UUAACGCUGAGGUGUGAUGACGAGGCACUACGGUGCUGAAGUGAUAAAUGCCCUGCUUCCAGGAAAAGCCUCUAAGCAUCAGGUAACACGAAAUCGUACCCCAAACCGACACAGGUGGUCAGGUAGAGAAUACCAAGGCGCUUGAGAGAACUCGGGUGAAGGAACUAGGCAAAAUGGUGCCGUAACUUCGGGAGAAGGCACGCUGAUA
rnacentral:rRNA from 1 species